AUAAAAAAAAAUAUUUUAUGCAAAAAAAAAAAAAAAAAAAAAAAAAAAAAAAAAAAAAAAAAAAAAAAAAAAAAAAAAAGCAAA